rnacentral:rRNA from 1 species
AUGUACCCUAUCGCCUGGGCAGUGGUUGAGAAAGAGACCAAUGAGUCUUGGGAUUGGUUUUGCUCUUUGCUUUUCAAAGAUGUUGAUGUGUAUGAUGGUAAUGGUUGGGUCAUUAUAUCAGACCAAUAA